UAUCUUUUUCUCUCCGUAGGACAUGUUUCUGAGGGGGUAAAACCCAAAGGUAGGGGAGCUCCGAAGAAGGCUCCUGUUAGAAAUUAGAAAAUGCCGACUGUUGUUGAUAGUGAAGAGGAAGAUGAUGAGGUGCUCGAGCUGAAAGAACGACUGACAACGUAUAACAUUGAUUCUCCUUCAGAUCAAACAGGUAUAUGAUCAUCCAUGUGCAGUAAGCUUUCAGAUCAAAGUGAAGCUGAGAAUAGGGUGUUAGUUGAUUGCAAAUUGAUAACCAGUAGAUGCACAUCCAUGGAGUUUUCGCUUGCGAUUGUUGAGAAGCUAUUUGGCUGCGAGAAGGCAUUGGAUCUUGCUGUUAAUGAGAACUUUAAAUAGACAUAUAACUAUUAUGUUGGCAUUGUAUUUUUGUGAAUGGAAAUGAAUUAUUGUGUUUGAUUGAAUGAA